CUUGAAGAGCAACUUAGGAGCUGGACUGGAGAGGAUCUGUUUUGAAGUUGCCAUCAGUACAGUAUUUUCCCUGCAGGGUCACACUCAGCACUUACUUUAUUAAGUAAGAAAGAAGCUUCCUUUCUGUACCAACAUUGGGCUGCUGUGAGUGCUGAUGCAGCGCACCCUGUAUCCCUGCAGCUCUGCAUGGGACAGGCAGGGGACAACGGGCAGCCUAUUUCCAUCCCACAGUGACAGGCAGCAAUAUCACAAUUUGCUUCUGGCUGCACAAGAUUUCAUCCCUGCUCCCCACUGCAGAGAUGCCUCAGGAAGGAUUCACCCAGAUGAACUAGAGGAUCUAGAUGAUCUUUGAGAUCCCUUCCAAUCCAAGCCAUUCUAUGAUUCAAUGACUUCAGAAGGAAACCAGAAGCUGUGUUAAAUGAGUUUGAGGUGAGCUUCACUUGUGCUUCAGUGGCAGAUGUUUUGGCACAUGAGAACAGACUCAGGCCCACCAUUCAUUCCUUCAACAAUCACAGGCUCUCUCCUGAGUCUUCCUUAAAUCAGAACUGGCAUUACACUCUCAUCUAUUCCAUUAAAGAUGCUUCAAGCUACUGCCUUUGGUACUAAACAGGGAAACGCCACCUACCCAUCUCUCAAUAAGGACCAUCCACACUGGCAUUUCAUGAAGACUAAUGUCAAUAUUACCACAAGAUAAGAUUCAGUACUUUCCUUUUUUUCUGGUCAGCAAACAGUAGUAGAGAAGCAAACAGGAAGCAGAAAGGAAUGCUACAUUAAAAUAUGUUAAAAAUCCUUACUGGGACCAUCUUGCUUCCUUGUCCCUCUCGUGGCAAGCCAGCCCCAGCUGUCAGUAACACAUUAAUGACUGCACUGCAUUUCAGAUCAGGAAAGGAGGAGAAAGACAGUUGUAAAUCAUUGCAAUUGACUGUUAAUCUUAAUGGAAACACUUCAUGUACCUGCAAAUAUAUUCAAAGGGGAUAGAAAAGAGAUAAUAAUGGCCAUUACAGUGUUUUGCCAUAUGCUUUCACAAAGCAAAGCAGCUACUGACUAUUCUGGCUCAUCAGGUUAGGCUUAGGUAAGGUUGAUAGAUUUGAUGAUCUCAAAGGUCUUUUCCAACCUAAAUAACUAUGAUCUCUCCCACACUAGCUUGCAAGGAAAUUAGUGCUUUGGGCAAGAAGUAGGGGAAAAAAAAAAAAAAA